GAUGAACGCUGGCGGCGUGCCUAAUACAUGCAAGUCGAGCGAACGGACGAGAAGCUUGCUUCUCUGAUGUUAGCGGCGGACGGGUGAGUAACACGUGGAUAACCUACCUAUAAGACUGGGAUCACUUCGGGAAACCGGAGCUAAUACCGUAUAAUAUUUUGAACCGCAUGGUUCAAAAGUGAAAGACGGUCUUGCUGUCACUUAUCGAUGGAUCCGCGCUGCAUUAGCUAGUUGGUAAGGUCACGGCUUACCAAGGCAACGAUGCAUAGCCGACCUGAGAGGGGGAUCGGCCACACUGGAACUGAGACACGGUCCAUACGCCUACGAGACGCAGCAGUAGGGAAUCGGCCGCAGUGGUCGAAAGCCUGACGGAACAACGCCGCGCGAGAUAUGGAGGUCUUCGGAGCGUAAAACUCUGUUAUUAGGUAUGAACAGAUGUGUAAGUAACUGUGCACAUCUUGACGGUACCGAAUCAGAAAGCCACGGCUAACUACGUG
rnacentral:rRNA from 1 species